AUUGAACGCUGGCGGCAGGCCUAACACAUGCAAGUCGAACGAGUGGCGGACGGGUGAGUAAUGUCUGGGAAACUGCCCGCUGGAGGGGGAUAACUACUGGAAACGGUAGCUAAUACCGCAUACCAUCGGAUUUGCCCAGCUGGGAUUAGCUUGUAGGUGAGGUAACGGCUCACCUAGGCGACGAGCCCUAGCUGGUCUGCGAGGAUGACCAGCAACACUGGAAAUGAGACACGUGCCAGACUCCGACGGGAGGCAGCAGUGGGGAAUAUUGCACAAGGGGAGCAAGCCUGAUGCAGCCAUGCCGCGUGUAUGAAGAAGGCCUGCGGGUUGUAAAGUACUUUCAGCGGGGAGGCGUUACCCGCAGAAGAAGCACCGGCUAACUCCGUGCCAGCAGCCGCGGUAAUUC
rnacentral:rRNA from 1 species